CCAAGAAGUUGCAGAAGACAAAGGCAUUCAGUUCAGCAAACAAACCAUUGCAGCUAUUUCAGAGAUCACCUUUAGACAAUGUGACAUGGAAAACGAACUGUAAUCAAUUCAGAAGAUGUGAAGCUUUUGGCCAGGAGGAGCAGCUCUUUGCUAAGGUAUAUCACCCAGA